rnacentral:rRNA from 1 species
AGGAUUGCAUUGCGGUCAAUAACCGCUGGGAAAGAGGUUACUCGCAGAAGAAGCACCGGCUAACUCCGUGCCUGCAGCCGCGGUAAUACGGAGGGUGCAUGCGUUAAUCGGAAUUACUGGGCGUAAAGCGCACGCAGGCGGUUUGUUAAGUCAGAUGUGAAAUCCCCGCGCUUAACGUGGGAACUGCAUUUGAAACUGGCAAGCUAGAGUCUUGUAGAGGGGGGUAGAAUUCCAGGUGUAGCGGUGAAAUGCGUAGAGAUCUGGAGGAAUACCGGUGGCGAAGGCGGCCCCCUGGACAAAGACUGACGCUCUUGUGUUUUUUGCUUUGGGGAGCAAACAGGAUUUAGAUACUCUGGUAUUCCACGUUGUAAACGAUGUCGACUUGGAGGUUGUGCCCUUGAGGCGUGGCUUCCGGAGCUAACGCGUUUGAUCCGAUCCCUGGGGGAGUACGUCCGCAAGGGUUAAAACUCAAAUGAAUUGACGGGACUCCUAC